rnacentral:rRNA from 1 species
UACAGAGGUCCCAAGCGUUGUUCGGAUUCAUUGGGCGUAAAGGGUGCGUAGGCGGCGCCGUAAGUCAGGUGUGAAAUUUCGGAGCUUAACUCCGAAACUGCAUUUGAUACUGCGGUGCUUGAGGACUGGAGAGGAGACUGGAAUUUACGGUGUAGCAGUGAAAUGCGUAGAGAUCGUAAGGAAGACCAGUGGCGAAGGCGGGUCUCUGGACAGUUCCUGACGCUGAGGCACGAAGGCCAGGGGAGCAAACGGG